UAAAAUGACUUUAAAAUAAAGUAAAGCCACAUAAUCAGGGUUUCCCCAGAGUUUUAUAAGCCUGGCGGGCCACCAGGCUUUACUUGCCCACCCACCAGGCUAAGCAUUGCUUUUCUGUUCAAGUUUU